AUUGAACGCUGGCGGCAGGCCUAACACAUGCAAGUCGAACGAGCGGCGGACGGGUGAGUAAUGUAUGGGGACUGCCCGAUAGAGGGGGAUAACUACUGGAAACGGUGGCUAAUACCGCAUACUAUCGGAUAACCCAUGUUGGAUUAGCUAGUAGGUGGGGUAAAGGCUGACCUAGGCGACGAUGCCUAGCUGGUCUGAGAGGAUGAGGAGCCACCCGGGGACUGUGACACGGCCCAGACUCCGAGGGAGGCAGCAGUGGGGAAUAUUGCACAAUGGGCGCAAGCCUGAUGCAGCCAUGCCGCGUGUAUGAAGAAGGCCUUAGGGUUGUAAAGUUCUUUCACCCGGUCGGCGUUACCUGCAGAAGAAGCACCGGCUAACUCCGUGCCAGCAGCCGCGGUAAUUC
rnacentral:rRNA from 1 species